rnacentral:rRNA from 1 species
UGGAGCAUGUGGUUUAAUUCGAUGAUACGCGAGAAACCUUACCUAGGCUAGAAUGUGAGUGAAUGUUCUAGAGAUAGGACAGUCCUUCGGGACACGAAACAAGGUGCUGCAUGGCCGUCGUCAGUUCGUGCCGUGAGGUGUUGGGUUAAGUCCCGCAACGAACGCAACCCCUACUAACUGUUGCCAGCAUUUCGGAUGGGGACUCAGUUAGGACUGCCUACGCAAGUAGAGAGGAAGGAGGGGACGACGUCAGGUCAUCAUGGCCCUUACGCCUAGGGCGACACACGUGCUACAAUGGGGGAUACAGAGCGUUGCUAACUGGUAACAGUACGCCAAUCGCAAAAAGUCCUUCACAGUUCGGAUUGAGGUCUGCAACUCGACCUUAUGAAGCUGGAAUCGCUAGUAAUCGCAUAUCAGCCAUGAUG